rnacentral:RNase_P_RNA from 7 species
UCCCUAGUACGAGAGGAAUGCCCCGCCGCAAGGUGGGGAGGAAAGUCCGGACAGCUAAAAGGAAGGGUGGCUGGGGAAACCCAGUCCUUCCCGAGGUGACUCGGGAGGCGCGAUAGGGCCACAGAGACGAUCAAAGGUGAAACGUUCCACCGUUAGGUGGAGACCCUGUACCGGUAACGGUAUAGGGGUGGUAACCCGCCCCGCUGCAAUCGACGAAUUGGGACUAAGGUGCCUUUUCUAUCCCUAAAGUCUCGAGCAUAGAUAGAUAUUCCUCCACGACAGAAUCCGGCUUAUUGUACUAGGGAGCCC